rnacentral:tRNA from 1 species
GGGGAUUUUGCUCAGUGGUAGAGCACUUGCCUAGCAAGCGCAAGGCCCUGGGUUCAGUCCCCA